rnacentral:rRNA from 1 species
GAUAAACGCUAGCGGCAGGCCUAACACAUGCAAGUCGAGGGGCAGCGGAUGGAGUACUUCGGUACUCUUGCCGGCGACCGGCGGACGGGUGCGUAACGCGUAUGCAACCUACCUUCAACAGGGGGAUAAUCCGAAGAAAUUUGGUCUAAUACCCCAUAAUAUUCCGGCAGGCAUCUGUCGGAGUUGAAAGCUUCGGUGGUUGGAGAUGGGCAUGCGUUGUAUUAGCUGGAUGGUGAGGUAACGGCUCACCAUGGCGAUGAUACAUAGGGGGACUGAGAGGUUUUCCCCCCACACUGGUACUGAGACACGGACCAGACUCCUACGGGAGGCAGCAGUGAGGAAUAUUGGUCAAUGGACGGAAGUCUGAACCAGCCAUGCCGCGUGCAGGAUGAAUGUGCUAUGCAUUGUAAACUGCUUUUGUACGAGGGUAAACGCAGAUACGUGUAUCUGUCUGAAAGUAUCGUACGAAUAAGGAUCGGCUAACUCCGUGCCAGCAGCCGCGGUAAUACGGAGGAUCCGAGCGUUAUCCGGAUUUAUUGGGUUUAAAGGGUGCGUAGGCUGUUUUUUAAGUUAGAGGUGAAAGCUCGACGCUCAACGUCGAAAUUGCCUCUGAUACUGAGAGACUAGAGUGUAGUUGCGGAAGGCGGAAUGUGUGGUGUAGCGGUGAAAUGCUUAGAUAUCACACAGAACACCGAUUGCGAAGGCAGCUUUCCAAGCUAUUACUGACGCUGAGGCACGAAAGCGUGGGGAGCGAACAGGAUUAGGUACCCUGGUAGUCCACGCAGUAAACGAUGAUAACUCGUUGCCGGCGAUACACAGUCGGUGACUUAGCGAAAGCGUUAAGUUAUCCACCUGGGGAGUACGUUCGCAAGAAUGAAACUCAAAGGAAUUGACGGGGGCCCGCACAAGCGGAGGAACAUGUGGUUUAAUUCGAUGAUACGCGAGGAACCUUACCCGGGCUUGAAAGUUAGCGACGGAUCGAGAAAUCGGUCUUCCCUUCGGGGCGCGAAACUAGGUGGAGGAAGGUGG